AGGUUCUCGGCUUUUCCAUGUCCCCGGGCGUCUCGGGAGGACGAGGUCCUUCAGGCGCACCGAGGCCGACUAAGAGCCUCUAGAGUGAAUAAGAGACUGGGAGAGGGAGAGGGUUCAGUUUGGGUCCAGCCAAACCCUUAAUUUUUAACUCCUUGGGUUUAUUCGAUGGGUUGUUGUGAUGUUGCAAUCCCUCUAGAAAGUCAGGCAGUCCUUUGGGUUACCCGAGGAAAAUGUUGAGCGCGCUCGUCGAGGGUUCAUGGAAGUUGCUGGGAUUGGAGUCAUGUGAGCUGGUGGAGCUGGCCUGAAUCCCUUGGAGGGAGUGUCGAGGCGCACAGCCUCUCGAGAGGCUGAGCAUCAACAGGACUACUACAGUGACUGGGAUCACUACAGCUCGUUUUCAAUAUUUAACAAAGUUGCUCAGAGUCUGUCUGGCAAUGGAUGCUGGAAGUUGGCUGAGUCACUGGGGCUGUCUGCCGCACCAACUGCACAGAACAUGCUAUGUAUCGGCUUGGCUUCUCCCAGCAUACUGAAUGGACAUAAGUCAGAACGUUUCAAGAGACAAGAGAACGCCUCACAUUCCUUAAACUGUGGACCAGGAAGUGGGGAGAGGGUCACUUCAAUCAUACUCUAUUGCAGCCACAAUGACUUUCAACAAAUCGGCGUAGAGGGCAUGUUUAAAAGCUACCACAAUAUUGGACCCAAUGUUUAAGCAUUUUAUUUCAAAUCAUUUAUAUGCAUUGGCUCUUCAUAAUUAGUAGCUCCACGACAUUUAUUAAAUGGAAUAAAUGCAAUCUGCUAGGAUUAAAAUGGCAUAUUAUAAUUACUGGCCAUAAGGAAGUAACAAAAUCUGUGCUUUAUUGUAAGCAAAAUAAAACUGGGGAAAUUCAUAUGUUAUGGAUUAGAUUGAAAUGUGCCUUAAAGGCUCAUGUAUCCCCUCACUGGUGAUGCUAUUGAAGAUGGUGAGAUCAUGAGGAUGCUAACCUCAUCAAGGGAUACUGUUCAUAGCGGAACAGGAAGUGAGGUCUGGUCAGAGGAAGUAUAUCUUCAAAAUCCCUUCUUUAUCUCUCUAGCUCUGCUUCAUGGCCGAGGGGAAAUGGCAGCUUUGGCUUCUGCUUCUCACAGCCCAGAAACAGCAGAGCCAACUAGCCAUGGUCUGAGGCCUCUGAGGUAUGAAUUAAAACAAAUCUUUCCUCCAUUGAGGUUGCUUAUGCCAGAUGUUUUGUCCCAGGGAUGAGAAAGUCAGACUGUAAGGUGUGGUUGAUUUCCAACAUGAGCCAACAGCAGUAUAAAGCAAAGGCCAAGGAAGCAGGAAAUGUGCAUUGAGCCACAUAACAGCCAAGAGCUCUGGCAGGCCCACAGCUGGAUUCUGAACUGUAGCAUAGAACCCAAAAAUGACUCCCAAGUGUUCAUAAUGUACUUGUGAUGGUUUGAAUAUCCUUGGCCGGGGGAGUGGCACUAUUAGGAGGUGUGGCCUUGGAGUAAAUGUGGCCUUGUUGGAGUAGGUGUGCCACUGUGGGCAUGGGCUAUAAUACGCUUGUCCUAGCUGCCUGCAAGCCAGUCUUUUCCUAGCAGCCUUCAGAUAAAGAUUUAGAACUCUCAGUUCCUCCAGCAUCAUGCCUGCCCAGAUGUUACCAAGAUCCUGCUUUGGUGAUAAUGGACUGAACCUCUGAACCUGUAAGCCAGCCUCAGUUAAAUGUUUUCAUAAGAGUU
rnacentral:lncRNA from 1 species